CCUACGUGGUGCAGCAGUGAGGAAUAUUGGUCAAUGGUCGGGAGCCUGAACCAGCCAAGCCGCGUGAGGGAGGAAGGUACAGCGUAUCGUAAACCUCUUUUGUCAGGGAACAAAGGCGGGGACGUGUCCCCGGAUGCGUGUACCUGACGAACAAGCAUCGGCUAACUCCGUGCCAGCAGCCGCGGUAAUACGGAGGAUGCGAGCGUUAUCCGGAUUUAUUGGGUUUAAAGGGUGCGCAGGCGGGCUGUUAAGUCAGCGGUCAAAGCCCGGGGCUCAACCCCGGCCCGGCCGUUGAACCUGGCAGUCUCGAGUUGGAGAGAAGUAGGCGGAAUGCGCGGUGUAGCGGUGAAAUGCAUAGAUAUCGCGCAGAACUCCGAUUGCGAAGGCAGCAUGCCGGAUCCACACUGACGCUGAGGCACGAAAGCGUGGGUAUCGAACAGGAUUAGAUACCCCAGUAGUC
rnacentral:rRNA from 1 species